UUUCAGAAGUUUCGGCUGAUGGAGAAAAGAGAGUCCUUAAUUUGGAGGCGCUAAAGCAAAAACGAUUUCCACCAGCAACAGAAAACUUCCUUUAUCAUCUAGCAGCAGCCGAACAAAUGCUGAAAAUCUGACUGUGUGACAGAACGUACCACUGAUGACUGAUAGAAAGCCCUCUUUCACUCUGAUUACCCACUCACUACAUGAAGUCCUGAAAAUAACAGAGAAACUGUUAUAUCUUUUUAAUGAUUUAUUUGCAAGUAUUGAGAUUUGACCUGAAAAACAAUGAAACACAUGAACACACUUCCGAUUUUCUCCUCGCUGAUUAGCUUCCUGCCUGCUGUCAGUGCUGGACGAAGUGCUAUAACUACUUUAUGUAACAUUACAGAACAGCUAGAGGUCCUGGGGAAGAACUUUAAUUCCUCCUGAGGAACUCUACUUUCUGAGCCAAACUGCUAAUUUUCUGCGGAACUGUCUAGAAGAUCAUUCAAGAGACCCUGCAGUUGCACUUUGUCGUAAAAGUUU
rnacentral:sRNA from 1 species